CAGGCCUGAACCACUGCACCCGGCCAACCUAUUCUAUAUUUUCAAGUUAGUAUCACACAGUGACUCCACAUACAUGGAUUUAAUUGAUUAAUUGUAACAUAUGAAUAUCUGGGUUCUGGAAAAAGUUUUCAGAAAGUGUAAAAACACACUAUGGUUUGCUGUCUUCUCCAGACAAACUGAAGAAUAGACCCCAAUCCCCAAACAUUUUCCUGUUAAACAACAUAGCCAAGAUAUUCUCUUUCUUCCUAUGUGAUUUUGAAGUGCAGGGCAACCCAAACAAAAGGCAGAAGCAUAAAAGAUGUUAGUUAUUAUUGUAAGGCCUUUAUUUUUUAUGAUAAUUAUACUAACAAGGCCAGAGGUGCUGACACAGUGUGAACAAUUACUAAUAGUAAAAAGAAUAUUUAGAAAAAUUCUGGCUGUACUGAAUGAUCCAAAAUUACAAAGAGUUUAACUUUAAAACUUUUUAAGAUCAAAGACAGAAGAAAGGAAACAGCCAGCUGAGAAAUUAGAACUCAGAUGACAGAAGAGAAAAACAUAUGAUAGAGAGUAGGUAGGAAAAAGGUUCUAAAAGAGGGUAGUGAAAGAAUGAGAAAAAGCUAAUCAAUUAUUGUCAGAAGACAGAGCUAAGACAGCAAGUGAACAAAAACAGCUAUAUGACUGAAGGCCUAGAAAAGUUUUCAUCUGAUGCCCAAGCAGAAUAUACAGACACCCAACAUAGCAUCUCACACAAACUGUACAUAAAAAAGAAGAAUUUUCUGAGUAUGAAUGACUGAGCACCCUAGAAGACAGUAAUUCAUUUCUCCAGAGGCUUAAGGGAUUAAAGUACUAAUGAUUACCAAACAGAAUCCCUGAGGGCUUAGUUCUUGAAGUGAGAACAAAAGAAAGAAAAAAGGUUACAUAACAAGAAAUGUAAGAAAGAGGUUACAAAAUACUUUCAAUACAUGGUCCACUGUAAAACUGAAUGGUCUUUAUGUCAAUGGAUUUGAUUUCUUCCAAAUAUCUCCAAGCAAAAUGUUUACCUCACCUGAACAAAUGGCAUACUAAACCAAAACACAAGAAGGGAAACAACUUGUGUUUUUCUCUUUUCUUAGACCAUCACAGAGCAUGAUUGAAAUAGUAUUCAAUUACAGUAUUUAAUCCCUAAUAGUUAUCUAAUCUUUAUAUGGUUUCUGAUCUUUUUUAUGUUUAUUCCAUACUGCUAUAUGAAAUUUACUUUUAUGAUAAAAUAGCUCAGAUUAUUAUUACUAUUUUUUGAGACAGAGUUUCACUCUUGUCCCCCAGGCUGGAGUGCAAUGGCAUGAUCUGGGCUCACUGCAAGUGACCUCAGAUGAUCCUGACCUCAGAUGAUCUGCCCGCUUCAGCCUCCCAAAGUGCUGGGAUUACAGGUGUGAGCCACCAUGACUGACUCAAAUUAUUUUUUAAAAUAGGUAACUGUAAAUUAAAAGACAAAAACAUAAUUAUUAUUUAUACCUUAUUCCAAGUAUACAUUAAAAUGAUGGAUGAA
rnacentral:lncRNA from 1 species